CAGCACCUCAAGUGGUCAGGAUGAUUAUUGGGCCUAAAGCGUUCGUAGCCGGUUUAGUAAAUCUUUUGUGAAAUCGUACAGCUCAACUGUACGGCGUGCAGAAGACACUGCUAAACUAGAGACCGGGAGGAGUCAGAGGUAUGCUGGGGGGACCGGUAAAAUGGGAUAAUCCUCAGUAGACCACCGAUGGCGAAGGCAUCUGACCGGAACGGAUCUGACGGUGAGGGACGAAAGCUAGGGGAGCGAUCCGGAUUAGAUACCCGAGUAGUCC
rnacentral:rRNA from 1 species